rnacentral:rRNA from 1 species
CAGUAGCCGCGGUAAAACGAGGGGGGCAAGCGUUGUUCGGAAUUAUUGGGCGUAAAGGGUGCGUAGGCGGUUUGACAAGUCUUAUGUGAAAUCUUCGGGCUCAACCCGAAGCCUGCAUGGGAAACUGUCGAGCUUGAGUAUGGGAGAGGUGAGUGGAAUUUCCGGUGUAGCGGUGAAAUGCGUAGAUAUCGGAAGGAACACCUGUGGCGAAAGCGGCUCACUGGACCAUUACUGACGCUGAUGCACGAAAGCUAGGGGAGCAAACAGGAUUAGAUACCCGUGUAGUCCCUGUCUCUUAUAC